CCUACGGGUGGCAGCAGUGAGGAAUCUUGGUCAAUGGUCGGGAGCCUGAACCAGCCAAGCCGCGUGAGGGAUUAAGGUUCUGAGGAUUGUAAACCUCUUUUGUCAGGGAACAAAGGCGGGUACGUGUCCCCGGAUGAGUGUACCUGACGAACAAGCAUCGGCAAGCUCCGGGCCAGCAGCCGCGGUAAUACGGGGGGGGCGGGCGUUAUCGGGAUUUAUGGGGUUAAAGGGGUGCGAAGGCGGUUUGUUAGGUCAGCGGUAAAAGCGCGGGGCUCACCCCCGGACCGCCGUUGAAACUGGCAGACUCGAGUGGGAGAGAGGUAAGCGGAAUGCGCGGUGUAGCGGUGAAAUGCGUAGAUAUCGCGAAGAACACCGAUGGCGAAGGCAGCAUGCCGGCU
rnacentral:rRNA from 1 species